CAGCCGCCGCGGGAAUACGUAGGGUGCGAGCGUUAAUCGGAAUUACUGGGCGUAAAGCGUGCGCAGGCGGUUCGUUAAGACAGAUGUGAGAUCCCCGGGCUUAACCUGGGAACUGCAUUUGUGACUGGCGAGCUAGAGUAUGGCAGAGGGGGGUAGAAUUCCACGUGUAGCAGUGAAAUGCGUAGAGAUGUGGAGGAAUACCGAUGGCGAAGGCAGCCCCCUGGGCCAAUACUGACGCUCAUGCACGAAAGCGUGGGGAGCAAACAGGAUUAGAUACCCCAGUAGUCCCUGUCUCUUAUAC
rnacentral:rRNA from 1 species